UGAUCCCUAUUCUUUUUAUAAUUUAGGCGGUUUGGCUUCGUUCAUUCAGCGGGAAUUCUCGGCGGCAUCAUCAAAAUUUUGAGAGAAAAAAAACAAACCGCCAAAACGUCGUGGUAAGGGAAUUAAAAUAGGGUGAGAUUCCCCACCUCCAACAAAUUCACGGUUUCCCAGAUGUGCACGACUUGGAACCUCAACCUGCAAGCUACUCCCACCUUCGACCGGCAUCUCCGCUCGGCACCAUAUCCAUCAUCUUCUCUCUAAUUGGUCUCUUCUCUUCACUCAUCUACCCCAAAAGCCCAGACCCCAAAUCAUCAACCUAACCUCUUGUUUUUUGAUCGAUCAGUUCGGACAAUGGGUUCUUAUAUACCAGUUCGGAUGAUGCGUUCUUAUGCUGAGUAAAUUGUGGUCUUCUGGUUUCUGAGGUAGUGAUGUGGUGUUGCUUGCUUAUGUCAAAAGACAAAUCAAACUUUGGAGGAUUUUAGCAUCGCUUAGAGGUUUCUCUAGGUACAUACUGGCUAAGGUUGAUUAACAUGAUGGGAGUUCUCCGACUUAAACUAACAGAGGCGUAAGACUACACUUAUCUAACUCUACUAAUUGCUCCUAUAGUUGGCUAUGACUUGUCUACUUUUGAUGCAUUUCUAGCAUAGCCUGAAAGAAAACUUCAUCACUAGCUAGCUUCAUUUUCUUCCCCGAUUACACACUAUAUAUUUUUGUUCUAUUCAUUCCUGCAGCUGCUGUUUGAAGUAUCAUAGAAAAAGAAAUUGCAGAAAUUGUUGUAGUAUCAUAGAAAAAGAAUCCAGAUAGAUAUCUUGACAAAUGAGGUUGAGGUCGAGGUCAUGAAGAGCAGUGUCAUUCAUUGUUUGGGCAAUGGUGAUAGGCGUAGGGAUAAGGAUGAGGUUGAGGUUGUGAAGAGCAGAGUCAUUCACUGUUUGGGGGAUGGUGAUAUGCACCGGGAUACGGAUGAGGAAGAACAUGAAGAUGAGAAUGCAGAUAAUAUGUAUUAGGAGCUACUGUUUCUAGGCCACAUAUGCUAGUAUCAUUUUAGUCCUUAGUUAGAGAACUUGUUUAUGUUGUCGAUUUAAUACAUUGAAGCUGGAUCAAUGCUACAUUUGUCAUCUUUUAUUGGAGUAGUGAAUGUUUCAAUUUGGCUAUUGCUUAUUUCAAUCUUGUUUAUUA